rnacentral:rRNA from 1 species
UGGGGAAUUUUGCACAAUGGGCGCAAGCCUGAUGCAGCCAUGCCGCGUGUAGGAAGAAGGCCUUCGGGUUGUAAAGUACUUUCAGCGGGGAGGAAGGGAGUAAAGUUAAGACCUUUGCUCAGGGACGCUACCCGCAGAAGAAGCACCGGCUAACUCCGGGGCAGCAGCCGCGGUAAUACGGAGGGUGCAAGCGUUAAGCGGAAUUACUGGGCGUAAAGAGCACGCAGGCGGUUUGUUAAGUCAGAUGUGAAAUCCCCGGGCUCAACCUGGGAACUGCAUCUGAUACUGCUAAGCUUGAGUGUGGUAGAGGGAGGUGGAAUUCCAGGUGUAGCGGUGAAAUGCGUAGAUAUCUGGAGGAAUACCGGUGGCGAAGGCGGCCCCCUGGUCCAAGACUGACGCUGAGGUGCGAAAGCGUGGGGAGCAAACAGG